rnacentral:ribozyme from 1 species
UGCCAAGCAACUCCUAUCUCUACCUCCUCGUGGUGCUGGUCGGGGUAUGGGUAACCUUAGUACUCAUUGUUAGGAGCGG